rnacentral:misc_RNA from 1 species
GGAGGAUGAUGUCUGAGUGGGUAAGGUAGAAGCCAUCAGUUGGGUGGUAGAAAGGGUUGUUAUCUAAUUGGUUCGUGUAGGAUUUGAGAUCUGGCAAGUAGUCAGUUAAAUGGGGAGGUUUUUGGAGUUUAAAUGGGCAAGAUGAAAAGGAUUCUUCUGAAUUUUGGGUGGUAGUAGUGGGAUUGGUGGAUUCGGGCAAAGAAACCGCCAUGUCUACGGCGGCGAAGUAGCACUGUGGGGAUGAAGACAAUAAGUAUGAGAGAGUAGGCGUAAUUACCAUCAAAGGGAGGGAACGUGGCGGGCCAGAGGAUGGAAACGUGGA